CGGCAUGGCUAAGACAUGCAAGUCGAACGGACCAUAUAAUUGGGUAACCGAAAGUAUGGUUAGUGGCGAAAGGGUGAGGAAUAGAUAGGAACGUACCCUGUGCUCUGGGAUAGCGUCUGAAGCUUCGGCUUCUUCCGAAAGGGGCGGUAAUACCAGAUAAUGUCCUUCGGGACCAAAGAUUCAUCGGCAUUGGAGCGGCCUAUCUCCUAUCAGCUUGUUGGUGAGGUAACGGCUCACCAAGGCAACGACGGGUAGCGGGACUGAGAGGUUGGCCCGCCACAUCGGGACUGAGACACUGCCCGGACCUCCACGGAGGGCUGCAGUAACGGAUAUUGGGCAAUGGGCGAAAGCCUGACCCAGCAAUGCCGCGUGCAGGAUGAAGCCCCUAGGGGUGUAAACUGCUGUCAGGGGUCAGAAAGCUGGUUUCGGCCAGUUGAUCAACCCCAGAGGAAGUCACGGCUAACUUCGUGCCAGCAGCCGCGGUAAUACGAAGGUGGCAAGCGUUAUUCGGAAUCAUUGGGCUUAAAGGGCACGCAGGCGGAACAGUGUGUGUUGUGUGAAAUCCCCCGGCUUAACCGGGGAAUUGCACAGCAAACUGCUGUUCUUGAGGCAGGUAGGGGUGCAUGGAACUCUUGGUGGAGCGGUGGAAUGCGUAGGUAUCAAGAGGAACGCCAGAGGUGAAGACGGUGCACUGGGCCUGUCCUGACGCUGAGGUGCGAAAGCGUGGGGAGCGAACGGGAUUAGAUACCCCGGUAGUCCACGCCGUAAACGAUGUCUACUAGGUCGUGGGUGUUCUGACACAUUCACGGCCGGAGCAAAAGUGUUUAGUAGACCGCCUGGGGAGUACGGCCGCAAGGUUAAAACUCAAAUGAAUUGACGGGGGCUCACACAAGCGGUGGAGCAUGUGGAUUAAUUCGAAGCAACGCGCAGAACCUUACCUGGGUUUGACAUGCUUGUAUGCCUUCUCUGAAAGGAGUUAGGCUGCCUUCGGGUGAAACUUGCACAGGUGCUGCAUGGCUGUCGUCAGCUCGUGUCGUGAGAUGUCGGGUUAAGUCC
rnacentral:rRNA from 1 species